rnacentral:lncRNA from 1 species
ACUCCUCCAUAUCCAUCAAGUACAGGUUAAAAUGUCACUUCUAGGAAGCCCCCCCUGACCCCAUGGACUGUGUAGCUCUCCGAUUCUUGCUGCUGUGUACUGCCCUAGUUAAAUAUUCCUCACUCGCACAUCCCACAUCAGAACCCUCUUUUCAGGAACUGUGCCUCCUACUUUUUGGGAACUGGGAUAACUAAGGAGAAAGACAAAGGCUGACUUGGAUUGUAGAGGACUGGUAGAUUUUAUUAUCACAAAGUGUGGCAGAAGUCUUGGGAGAAAGGAAAUGGACAUUUUCUACCUAGUUAAAAAUGUUAUGCUGGCCAGGCGUGGUGGCUCACGCUUGUAAUCCCAGCACUUUGGGAGGCUGAGGCGGGCGGAUCACGAGGUCAGGAGAUCGAGACCAUCCUGGCCAACACGGUGAAACCCUGUCUCUACUAAAAGUACAAAAAAAUUAGUCAGGCGUGGUGGUGGGCGCCUGUAGUCCCAGCUACUCGGGAGGCUGAGGCAGGAGAAUGGCGUGAACCCUGGAGGUGGAGCUUGCAGUGAGUCGAGAUCAUGCCACUGCACUCCAGCCUGGGUGACAGAGCAAGACUGUCUUAAAAAAAAAAAAAAGUUAUGCUAAGGCUUAAGUAAAUUGCAGAAAUCCCAUUCUUCCUAUCACCAUGUGGACCAGGGAAUUAUUCCAGUUAAGGUCAGCUGGCCCCUGUGUCUUUUUUCAAUUGGGAGAUGUGAGUUUUGGAAAACUUGUGGCUCCUCUGUCCUUGAGUAUUGAGGGUUCCUCCUAGGUCCUCCCCCUCAUCAAUUAAAAUGACUCACAUAGCAAUGAUAUUUAGCAUACAUAUCAACUAGAACAGUGGUUCUGAACCAGAGGAACAUCUCAAAAUCACCAGGGAGUUUUGCUAAAAUACAGCUGUUACAUAUCUGCUCUCCCCUACUCCCCCUCUAGGCCCAUGAAUCAGAAUCUCUCAGGAUGGGGGCCAGCAAUAUGUACUAUGUGUGGGCUUCUCAGUCAACUGAUAUUUCAUCUCUGGUUAAGAAUUAUUGAGCCAGGGUAAGAG